rnacentral:rRNA from 1 species
UACGUAGGCAGCAAGCGUUGUUCGGAGUUACUGGGCGUAAAGGGUGUGUAGGCGGUUCUUUAAGUUUGGUGUGAAAUCUCCCGGCUCAACCGGGAGGGUGCGCCGAAUACUGAGGAGCUAGAGUGCGGGAGAGGAAAGUGGAAUUCCUGGUGUAGCGGUGAAAUGCGUAGAUAUCAGGAGGAACACCGGUGGUGUAGACGGCUUUCUGGACCGUAACUGACGCUGAGGCACGAAAGCGUGGGUAGCAAACAGG